rnacentral:rRNA from 1 species
AUGAUAAUAAUAAUAAAAAAAGAAACCGGCUACGUACAUACGCACCAGCUCUCCAUGGCAUGCAUGCACACGUCAAGCAGCAAGCAACACAUGAAGCCGGUGGGCACGUUCCUGCCGCAGUGGUUGAGGAUGAUGCUGAGGUCGAUGGGGAGGUUGAGGUUGAUGCCGAGGACGUUGGCCUUGAGCACCGUGCAGAGGCACACGGCCGCCUCGAGGUCGACGAGCCCCUUCAGCAGCGGGCAGCAGGGAAGAGUGGGCGGCAGCCCCACCUUGGCCUUGAUCAGGCCAAGCACGUUGGCGCAGACGCCCAGCUUCGGUGCGUCGCGCGGGCACCUACCGAGCGACGCCGGGGUCGGUGUCGGGGUCGACGGGGUUGAUGGCGUCAUGGGCGUCGGGCAGUCCCCCCCACACGCGCUGGCCAGGGAGAACACGGCCAGUGAUGGGCAAUAA